AUCUUCGGCAAUGGGCGAAAGCCUGACCGAGCGACGCCGCGUGAGCGAUGAAGGCCAUUAGGUUGUAAAGCUCUGUCGAGGGGGAACAAGCCGCAAGGUUGAGUGAUCCCUGGAGGAAGCACGGGCUAAGUUCGUGCCAGCAGCCGCGGUAAGACGAACCGCGCGAACGUUGUUCGGAAUCAUUGGGCUUAAAGGGCGCGUAGGCGGGUGUUCAAGUCCGGGGUGAAAGCCUCCAGCUCAACUGGAGAAGAGCCCCGGAUACUGUUCACCUGGAGAGAGAUAGGGGCACAUGGAACUUCCGGUGGAGCGGUGAAAUGCGUAGAGAUCGGAAGGAACGCCGGUGGCGAAAGCGAUGUGCUGGAUCUUUUCUGACGCUGAGGCGCGAAAGCUAGGGGAGCAAACGGGAUUAGAUACCCCGGUAGUCCUAGCCCUAAACGAUGGGUACUGGGUUGCGGGUCAGACAUAGACUCGCAGCCGAAGCAAAAGUGUUAAGUACCCCGCCUGGGGAGUAUGGUCGCAAGGCUGAAACUCAAAGGAA
rnacentral:rRNA from 1 species